rnacentral:snRNA from 12 species
AUACUUACCUGGCAGGGGAGGGAGAUAGCAUGAUCCCAGGGCAAGACUUAUCCACUGUGGUUGUGCUGACCCUGUGAUUUCCACUAGUGUGGGAAACUGAACUACAUAAUCUGUAGUAGUGGAGGACUGUGUUGACUUUCUUCCC